UACAGAGGGCUCGAGCGUUAAUCGGAGUAACUGGGCUUAAAGGGUGCGUAGGCGGACGUGCAAGUGCUUUGUGAAAUCCCACGGCUCAACCGUGGAAUUGCUUGGCAUACUGCGCGUCUUGAGGUCGGUAGAGGUUGCCGGAACUCUAGGUGGAGCGGUGAAAUGCGUAGAUAUCUAGAGGAACGCCCAAGGUGAAGACAGGCAACUGGGCCGAUUCUGACGCUGAGGCACGAAAGCGUGGGGAGCGAACGGG
rnacentral:rRNA from 1 species